rnacentral:rRNA from 1 species
CACCGCGGUUAUACGAGAGGCCCAAGUUGACAGACACCGGCGUAAAACGUGGCUAAACAUGCCCCCCCGACUAAAGCCAAACACCUCCAAAGCUGUGAUACGCAAACGAAGGUAGGAAGCCCCACCACGAAAGUGGCUUUACUCAACUUGAACCCACGAAAGCUAGGGGA